rnacentral:tRNA from 2 species
GGGGUGAUGGCGUAGCUGGUGGCGCGGCGCCCGGUGGGGCCGGUGAGCUCGCCGUCGGUGGUUAUGAGCCCAUCGCGCUCUA